rnacentral:rRNA from 1 species
UACGUAGGGUGCGAGCGUUGUCCGGAAUUAUUGGGCGUAAAGGGCUCGUAGGCGGCCAACUAAGUCGGAUGUGAAAUCCCCAGGCUUAACCUGGGAACUGCAUCCGAUACUGGAUGGCUUGAAUCCGGGAGAGGGAUGCAGAAUUCCAGGUGUAGCGGUGAAAUGCGUGAUGAUACUCGGUGAGGAAUACCGGUGGCGAAGGCGGCAUCCUGGACCGGCAUUGACGCUGAGGCGCGAAAGCCAGGGGGAGCAAACGGG